rnacentral:rRNA from 1 species
UACGUAGGGUGCAAGCGUUGUCCGGAAUUAUUGGGCGUAAAGAGCUCGUAGGCGGUUCGUCGCGUCGGCUGUGAAAUCCCGGAGCUCAACUCCGGGUCUGCAGUCGAUACGGGCGGACUCGAGUUCGGCAGGGGAGACUGGAAUUCCUGGUGUAGCGGUGAAAUGCGCAGAUAUCAGGAGGAACACCGGCGGCGAAGGCGGGUCUCUGGGCCGAUACUGACGCUGAGGAGCGAAAGCGUGGGGAGCGAACAGG